rnacentral:lncRNA from 1 species
CCUCCCCCACCGCCUCCUCCUUAACGGUAUCAGAGUCUUGAUUUGACCUCGAGCUGAUGCUUCAUUGUCCCUCCUCUUCCCGACCAUGAAAGGCAGUAUUUAUCUGCCCUACCUACCUGCUUAAAAUCCUUGUGGAAGGCACGUUUUAAGUGUCUGGUUUAUCCUGCAUGAGAUGUCCUGAGGGAAGCAGAACAGUCCUUGAUAUGAACAGAGGAGAUAACAAACUCUAAGUUAAGACCUUCUGAGAAAGCCUGUGAGGUGUGAUCCCUUCAGACUACCAGGCUCCAACUCAGGGCUGGACUUGAUGGAAAAAGAAGUUUAUAAACAAGCAACCCAAUUUCUCCAAAUUAUUCGAGGAGCUGCCUAGAAGUCAAGCAACAGAACCCAGCAAAGUUUUGCUUGCGAUUUACAACGAUGUUGUUGAAAUCUGGGAGGUGAACAAUUAGAAGACGACAGCCAAAAUAUGCUCUCUUGCCCUACGCUGAUAGCUGGUUAUGCAAUUGGCUGAUCAGCGUUUUGCAGCCGUCCCCAGAUCGUUGUUCAAAGUCAUUUUGUGGUUAAAAUAAAAACUACAUUCAACAGACA